AUACUUAUACUUUUGAAGGGAAAACAGCCAUCAAAUAAAUGUUAUUGAUUUGUAUCAUUGCCAACACAAGUUGUUCAGCCUGUUGCCUCUUAAUAAGUGGUUAACGGUAUUGAGUAGCUAGUGCAAAGUGGUCCCUGACGUUAAUCAUUUGCUAGUCGGUAACAGCAUUAAUCAUGGUAGCAGGAACAUUAAGGAGGCUUUAGCUUCAAUGUGUCUAACAGACUGUGUACAGAUGGUACAGAUACCAGUUGAGUCUCCUUGUAUCAUGUAUGAAAGCUAUUUGACAGCUGUUUGGCUAUGAGUCUGUUUACAUCCGUCUGUAAGGCGAUAGCCUAGCUACUGGCAUCUACUGACCUACUGCGCGUAAAGAGUACACACACAGAUUGGACUAUGACCAUUUGAGUUAGUUUUAUGAAAAUAGGCUAGUUAAACGUGUACUAAAAUUUGCUUUUUUAUUUUUCAGGAAACAUGGUUGAGACUUGGUCUUCCCAUCAGGUCUGCUUUUGGCUGGAACAGCAUAAUUUAAAAGAGGCUGAACAAACCUUCCUUGAUGACGAAAUUGACGGAGACACUGCUUGGUUUGACUGAGACGAUGGUGGCGCACCUCUUUACCCGCAUGAAGCAACAAAAAUAAUAAUCUCCUAGUAUCCCUACCACCAAACCAAACAACCCCUAUCAACACAACAACAACUGCCUGGCCAACAAAUUAUACACUACCAUCAUUCAGCCCAGAGGUCAGGGAAGCCCUAUUAAAAAAAGACCCAGCGUUUUAUAAGAAGGACAAGUCACACAUCUGGACUGAUCAGCCUUCUUUUUGAUGACAUGACCCGGUAUGCCUGGUAUCCAAACCAUAAAAUGUACAGUGAUGUCCUGGGAACACUAAUAACCCGGCAUCAAUUUCUUAUGGAUGGAAGCCUCUCUGGCUCACUACAGAGUCAGUGAAAGGGGAAGACGUUCAAAUCAUCUGUGAACACAUGAAGGCCAUCAGCGCAGAGCUGGAAAAAAACAGGCCAAAUUUUGAUAAUAUAAAGUGGAGGAUGGAAAGAACUCUUCAUGCACAGACUCCUCUAUACAACACUGCAACCACCACAGAACUGUUUGAACAUUGUCCCUUCCUUAAAGACCCUCUUCUACUAAGCAGUAAAAAAAUCGAUGUAAAUCAAUGCACAUAUUCAGGCAAUGCAGGGGCAUACAAUUGACAUCUUAGAGAGGAUCAUCUUUGACUUUAAAUCGUGUUAUGUUACUUCAGAAUUCUUCUUCUUUUUGUAGCUACUUUAUGAAAUGGAGCUGAGAUUUGGGCAGGAUCUGUGCUCAGCAGUUACCUACACAACACUGCAGAGCAGAUUUUGAGCGUCUCCAAGGGGCCACUUCAGGAUUCAUUAACCCUUAGAACCCUAAGCUGUUUUUGGGGCAUUUUCACUACCUUUAUUCAGAAGGAUUUAUUCUGGUCAUUGUA